ensembl:miRNA MIR9806-4 microRNA mir-9806-1
UGCUUUCUUUCCUCGCUGAGUAGUCUGGACCCACGUGUGGCAGGCAGAUACGGUCUGGCCAGGAGCCGAGGCC